GCAGCCGUGGCCUACUGGUUAGGGCUUCGGACUUAGAACCGGAAGGUUGCAGGUUCGAACCCUGACCAGUAGGA
rnacentral:tRNA from 1 species